rnacentral:lncRNA from 1 species
UUCUUCUUGUGCUUUUGCUUUGAUGGAUGGAAGAAAUUUGUGAAGUUUAUUCUUUAACUUUGAGGGUUGGACGGUGUUGCAAGGAAAACUAGGGAUUCCAUUUUGUUUUUCUCAAAAGUUUUAAGAAAGGCGAGUUUUGGAUCGGUUUCGAAGAAGUGGGAGGAUGACUUUGUUGUUCUUGCUUUUCUUUGGGAGUGGAAACUUGGUUUAUUAGGUUUAUUCUCGGUGGUGAUAAGUGAAGAAAGGUUUUGGUUGUUGGUUGGGUUGGAAAGGGAGAGAGAAUGGGCACAUUUAAUUUUUACCCCAUUUGGGCAAGCACAUGUAGAGGCACAUUUUCCAUAGAAGGAAUAUUUCCAUUUUGGUGUUCAUCACUUUGGUAGCAUUGGCUGAGAAUCACUUUGAGGAAGAGAAUGUUUUAUGUUUGUUUUAUUCCCUUUGACUUUGCAUAUGUGGCCCCUUGGUAGAAGCAACUCAACUUUUUGCGUAGAAGCAUUUAAGGCAUCUCAUUUAGCUUAUGGGUUUAGAGAACACCGAAUGUCUUUGUGUGUUUAGGAGAGAGGACGACUCUUGUUUUCAUGGAGGGAGAAGAAGCACGGUUUUCAUGAUAGCAUAGGUAGCACAUGUCUUUUCUUGGAGAAUAAAGCACAUGGGACAAAAAGACAACAUAAUGAAUUGUUUAUUGAAGGAAGAAAGUCAAAUUAGAAGUUGGUGUGCAUGAGACUCGCGGCCAAGAGGUUUUCUUAGGCCAUUUGCACUUUUAAUUUCAUUUUAUAGAUGAAUAUUGGUCACG